ACACAGUAAGCCAAUGGCAAGGUCUGCAGACACAGGCAUUCCUGUGUUCAGGAAUUUUCACACUAAGAGCAUCACUUCUGAAGUGCAACACUACAGCUUACAAUAACCUACCACAGAUCAAACUGUGCAAUUCGAGUGCAACUGACUCCAGUGAAAGAGGAGGAUACCAUGCAUCUGUCCUUCUCCGGGAUAAUGUAAAAUUGGAGACGAAGAAAUCCAUCAUAAUGAGAUCUGUAGGGAAGCCCACCCUUAGGUCUUUUGGCUGCUGUCCUGCUGCUUAUGAAGGAAGAAAAUUCUGCUUACCACUGUGUCAGCAUGUUGCAGCUUCAUGGAAGACAGAGGCAGUUUAGGAUGUGCUGAGUGGAUGCGCUUGGUUAUGCCCAGCUUUCUGGGUCUGUUAUCCUCAGGAUGAUCAGUUUUAUGACCUGGGAAGUGCAAGUGGCCAGGGUUUGCCAGACCAGCCUGAAAUUGCUCCUGCCACUGGGCAAGGUUUAAUGGUGAAGUAAGAUGAACUAAAGAAAUUCCUCAUUGCAUUUGGAAAGAAACAAAUAAAUGACGAAGACAAGACUCUAAUAGUUAUCUACAUGUCAGUGUAAAGUUAUGAUCUUCUAUAUGUGUAGCCAGCCCACAGAGCUGAGAAGUCUAGUGGAGAGAAGGGUUUUGCAGGAUAUAGAGCUGGGGUCCUGGAGAAUGAUCUUUGAGGCGUUCCCCUCAGUGUCAGUUCAGUGGCCACCCAAGGUCAGCUGUACUUUGGCUGGCGUUUCCCUUUAUGAAUUCUUCUAGUCAUGGAAGGAACUUAGGCUAAAUGCACCCCUGUUAUUUUUCUGCAACCUUGAUAGUCAGUCAAAUUAAGGUAUUAAACUUAUCUUGCUACCUGUGAAAUACAGUCUAUCACAAUAUAUUUUCUGAUAGUUGAAAGUGUUUUUCUGAAGCGCAUCCCUGAAGCUAGGCAUCUCUCAAAAAGGUAGAGCAGCCAAAUAAGGUCCUUUCAUGCUGUACAGAUGUGCCUUUUUCUGGAAUGGUUUGUAAGAUAAAUUCUGAAUUAUCAUAGCAAGUUUGCUCUAGUGCCUAACUUUUAUACUAAAUCUGUAGAGAGUGGUUGUGAAAUUUUAUUAGAAAUGUUAUUAUAAGGAAUACAGGCUUAUGUCUUGUUUAUGUAGAGACUGAACUUGAUAAGUAACAAGACGAACUUGAGAACAGUGGUGGUUUGGGAAUAUAUGACAGAACACAACCACCCAUCAUAUGUAAUGUUAUUUUUUCUGGUAGAGCAGGGAAUACGGUGGACUAAUAGAAUCUUAAUAAAAGCUGAAUGCUGUGCACCAGUUCCUCAUCUUUCUCAUGC